AGCCUUCUAUAUCCGUGCUGAGAUUUCAACACACACCAGACCACAAGGGCUGAUGAGACUUCCAAGAUAAGUGAAGCG
rnacentral:pre_miRNA from 1 species